rnacentral:lncRNA from 1 species
CAAGCUGCCCUGCAUUCCAAUGCUGUCCCUCCAACUCAAAGUUGGGCAGAAAAGGGUGUAAACACGUGCAGUCCAUGGUCCAGUUUAAUCAGCCACUACACAAACUUCCCACAAUGUUGACGGCUUUGCUAAACACCAAGGAACAUGAUUUAUCUUAUUUCUGAUCAUCUCUGCAACUGAACAGGAAACUAAAAAACCACAACACUUAAAAGACAACUUCCUGUGGGAUUUUUGGUGUCUGCGGCUCAGAAUGAAAAAAGCAUUAUGUGUGCAAAAUCUUUACACAUUUUAGAUAGAACUACUUAAUAAAACAGCCUUGACCAAAUGAACAACUAUAUCCACACCUAAUUUGUAUAUAUGUAUAUGUAUGGUUUUAAUUGCAAAAAAGAUCCUUAGGAAAGCAUAUUUAUGUUAUUU